UACGUAGGGUGCAAGCGUUGUCCGGAAUUAUUGGGCGUAAAGAGCUCGUAGGCGGUCUGUCGCGUCGGCUGUGAAAACCCGGAGCUCAACUCCGGGCCUGCAGUCGAUACGGGCAGACUGGAGUUCGGCAGGGGAGACUGGAAUUCCUGGUGUAGCGGUGAAAUGCGCAGAUAUCGGGAGGAACACCAGUGGCGAAGGCGGCUUCCUGGCCUGCAACUGACGCUGAGACGCGAAAGCGUGGGGAGCGAACCGG
rnacentral:rRNA from 1 species